rnacentral:rRNA from 1 species
CGACCGGCGCACGGGUGAGUAACGCGUAUGUAAUCUGCCUUGUCUUGAGGGAUAGCCCUUAGAAAUUUGCAUCAAUACCUAAUAGUAUUACCGAAUCGCAUGAUUUGGUAAUUAAAGCUCCGGCGGUACAAGAUGAACAUGCGUGACAUUAGCUAGUUGGUAAGGUAACGGCUUACCAAGGCUACGAUGUCUAGGGGUUCUGAGAGGAUGAUCCCCCACACUGGUACUGAGACACGGACCAGACCCCUACGGGAGGCAGCAGUGAGGAAUAUUGGUCAAUGGACGCAAGUCUGAACCAGCCAUCCCGCGUGAAGGAUGACUGCCCUAUGGGUUGUAAACUUCUUUUAUAUGCAAAUAAACCUACUUCCGUGAAAGUAGCUGAAGGUAGCAUAUGAAUAAACACCGGCUAACUCCGUGCCAGCAGCCGCGGUAAUAC